ensembl:snRNA U6 U6 spliceosomal RNA
GUACUUGCUUCAGUGGCACAUGUACUAAAAACCUGGAAUGAUAUAGAGAAGAUUAACAUGGACCUGUGCAAGGAUGACAUGCAAAUUCAUGAAAUAUUCAUAUUUUUG